CAGCACCUCAAGUGGUCAGGAUGAUUAUUGGGCCUAAAGCAUCCGUAGCAGGCGCUGUAAGUUUUCGGUUAAAUCUGUACGCUCAACGUACAGGCUGCCGGGAAUACUGCAGCGCUAGGGAGUGGGAGAGGUAGACGGUACUCGGUAGGAAGGGGUAAAAUCCUUUGAUCUAUUGAUGACCACCUGUGGCGAAGGCGGUCUACCAGAACACGUCCGACGGUGAGGGAUGAAAGCUGGGGGAGCAAACCGGAUUAGAUACCCGAGUAGUCC
rnacentral:rRNA from 1 species